rnacentral:rRNA from 1 species
CGCGUUGGGAGCUCUCCCAUAUGGUCGACCUGCAGGCGGCCGCGAAUUCACUAGUGAUUCGUAUUACCGCGGCUGCUGGCACAGAGUUAGCCGGUGCUUAUUCUGUCGGUAACGUCAAAACAGCAAAGUAUUAAUUUACUGCCCUUCCUCCCAACUUAAAGUGCUUUACAAUCCGAAGACCUUCUUCACACACGCGGCAUGGCUGGAUCAGGCUUUCGCCCAUUGUCCAAUAUUCCCCACUGCUGCCUCCCGUAGGAGUCUGGACCGUGUCUCAGUUCCAGUGUGACUGAUCAUCCUCUCAGACCAGUUACGGAUCGUCGCCUUGGUGAGCCAUUACCCCACCAACUAGCUAAUCCGACCUAGGCUCAUCUGAUAGCGCAAGGCCCGAAGGUCCCCUGCUUUCUCCCGUAGGACGUAUGCGGUAUUAGCGUCCGUUUCCGAACGUUAUCCCCCACUACCAGGCAGAUUCCUAGGCAUUACUCACCCGUCCGCCGCUCUCAAGAGAAGCAAGCUUCUCUCUACCGCUCGACUUGCAUGUGUUAAGCCUGCCGCCAGCGUUCAAUCUGAGCCAUGAUCAAACUCUAAUCGAAUUCCCGCGGCCGCC